rnacentral:lncRNA from 1 species
CUGCCCCUAACUGCUCUCUCAUCGUUAAUUAAACGUGUUGCCUUUUACAGAAUGGAUGUUUAUACAUUUCCAAUAUAAAUAAAUUCGAAACCAUCCUCUCUCUCUGUCUCUCUCUCUCCUCCUUUCCCUUUGGUCUCUCGCCAUUUACAGGCGCUUCUUGGCAUGAGCCCUGAGUGGUGGACACCUUGAAAAUAAAUGAAGUUUUGAGAUGCAAAUCCAAACAAGAACAUUAAAUUAGCUCCCUUUUUUCUUUCACCCCGAGAUAUCUGGAGACGUAUACAAGGGUGGUGGGAAGUGAACUGAAAAUCCCACCUACUUGGGAAAAGAAAGAAUCUGGGUGGGUUAGGAAGCCGGGUAUCAUCUCGGCCCUUCCCACCUCCUUCGGUGGCGGCCAGCCAGGCCGAGGCUGAUAAUAGUUUAACAGAUCUAUGAAGAAUUUCAAGAAGGAGCCGACUUUGGUUCUUGGGGGGUUGGAGGAGGAGGGGUGUAUUCCACCUGGACUCCACCCACGUUUUGUUUCCUCUGCAACAGAGAGACGCGGCUGCUCUCGGUGGGGGACGCGCCCCUCACUGCGCAGAACCUGCGGUCCCAUCUCCCCGGAUUGUAAGAAAAGCGCACCCGCACGCGGGCAUGGUGCUCCUGUCUCACAUCGGGCCAACGGUUUACUCGAGCCAUUGGCACAGUCUCUGACUUAAAGGAGGAGAAAGCGGGUACCGGGGUUCGCUCGGGCCUGAGGAGGGGGAGGUGGGCCACUCUGGCCUCCCGCACGCUCACCGCGCCCCUCCUCCUGUGUUGACCACUUAAGAACCCAAAUUGAGUCGUAAUUAAUUUCCCCUUCUCCGUCAUAAAUUGUUCCAUCCACUUUUCCCCUCCAUCUCACCUCCCAGAACGCACACACUAAAUCUCCCCUCCCCCGAGACGUCUCAAUUUCCUUCCUAUCGAUCCGGACUCCACUUUCCUUGAUUCCUGUUGCUGGAACCUCGGUCCCCUCCACCACCGGCAAGCCGCGUCCCCGACGGCCCUGUCCUGGUGGCUUCCCCAGCUGGGUACCACGGACUUUGCCCGCCCCAGGAGAAACGGAGGGAGCCUCAUGCCAUUCUCCUUUGGCUGAAACGUUUCAAACAUUUGAACAGGUGAGACAGCUGGCUGCCAUCUUCUUCAAACCCCUCCUGGGAAGUUGGCUUGUUGUGACCCUAGUAGCCACUCUCGCACUAAUUGUGUGUGUGUGUGUGUGCUCGUUCCCCCUUUCUCUAUCUCCUCCAGUAACCCUCUGCGACUCAGAUAAUAUUUAUCCACAUCCCCCCUCCCCAUAUUUCCAUUCCCUCAAUCGCGUUUUUCUUCCCCCACUAAUGUGUCACUUUCUGUAUCUGUCUCGCUUCGUCCAUCUCUCUCCGCCCUAAAGUUUGGCGGUUACUGACGACUUGUGGGCUUUUAGAAGCAAACUGCAACCACGCGGUAAACACGAUUUUCUUAGCCGGAAUCUGGUCGGCCCAGGGCAGGAGGGUCCCUGGCCCGCGUCUGCUCGGGCCCUUCCGCCCGGGGCGCCCCGCGGCGAGGACAGCGGGACCCUUCCUGCCUCCCACCUGGGCCGCCGCUCGCCUCCUUCCCGCCCCGGGAGCUGCGCUGGGGCCGCUGUCUGCCCGGAAGGAGGGAACGGCCGCGGGUCCCCAGCAGAACGGUCGCGGGAACUCCGCCGCCUCCGCUGGAAGUCGAUACUAAGCGGUUGGGCCGGCGCGGGCGCGGGACGUCGGGGCGGCAGCCAGCGGGUCCUGCACGUCUCAUCAUUUAGCUAAUCGAGUCGAAAAGUUUCUGUAAGGGCCAGACCCGGCAUCAGAUGGUAACACUGAUUGAACAAGAGAUUAGCACAAUAGAUCUCUAACCGAGGGGAAGCUUGCUUUUCACGCUACGCGCCGUAAUUAAUGGGAGGUUCCAAUGAGACACCGGGGAGUGGAUGGAUGAAGCCAGGUCUUGGCCGAGGAAGGGUGAGCGCAGGGGCCGGCCGCGCCGAGGGAGUCGGAGAGGCAGCCCCGCGGGCGGCGGAAUCGAAAUCAGGCUCGUUUGGAGGCUACUUCAAGAAGACCGCGCAGGACUGCCCCCCGGGGCCGCCACCCUCCCGCGCGCGCACACGUGCACGCGUCCACGCAGGCCCGGCCUCCUAGGCCGCGGUGGGCCUCGUGCUGCGGCCCGCGCCUGCCUCCGGGCUGAACAACCGAAGCUGAGCAAAGGAAAUUCAGAAUUUGUCAAUUUCGGUUGGUUUGUUUUGUCCUUCCGACCUUCCUUUUGUAUAAUUACUGGAUUCCUCGCACAGUUGCAGCCGCGGCCUCGGCAGCCGGGGGGCGAUGGGCAGCCAGCUCGCCGCUCCAGUCGGUUUCGCGGGAGGCUGUGUAGACGGCGAUGGGAGCGGUUCGGAGCCCGCGGGCCACAAAGCGGUGCAGCUGCGGGAAUCAACCCAGAUGCAUUUAGGGUCAGGUGCAACCGGGGGAUCAUUCAGAUACAGAAAAUCCUUGGAGUUUCGCCGGCAUCUCAGGAUGGAGUAACUGCCCCCACCCUCCCCCCUUCCUCAACCAGGAACCUCUUGCGAAGUGGGGAUCCAUCCAAUGGGCUAGUGUUAUAUCCUGGAAAUUAU